rnacentral:tRNA from 1 species
UAGUAUAGGGCGGAUGUAGCCAAGUGGAUCAAGGCAGUGGAUUGUGAAUCCACCAUGCGUGGGUUCAAUUCCCGUCAUUCGCCC